GGAAUUGACGGGACCGCACAGGCGGUGGAUGAUGUGGUUUAAUUCGAUGCAACGCGAAAACCUUACCCACCUUGACAUGUACGGAACCUUUAGAGAUAGAGGGUGCUCGAAAGAGAGCCGUAACACAGGUGCUGCAUGGCUGUCGUCAGCUCGUGUCGUGAGAUGUUGGGUUAAGUCCCGCAACGAGCGCAACCCUUGUCAUUAGUUGCUACAUUCAGUUGGGGCACUCUAAUGAGACUGCCGGUGACAAGCCGGAGGAAGGUGGGGAUGACGUCAAGUCCUCAUGGCCCUUAUAGGUGGGGCUACACACGUCAUACAAUGGAUGGUACAAAGGGUCGCCAACCCGCGAGGGGGAGCCAAUCCCAUAAAGCCAUUCGUAGUCCGGAUCGCAGUCUGCAACUCGACUCCAUGAAGUCGGAAUCGCUAGUAAUCGUGGAUCAGAAUGCCACGGUGAAUACGUUCCCGGGGCUU
rnacentral:rRNA from 1 species